AUUGAACGCUGGCGGCAGGCCUAACACAUGCAAGUCGAGCGGCUGAAGGGGGCUUGCUCCUGGAUUCAGUGGCGGACGGGUGAGUAAUGCCUAGGAAUUUGCCUGGCAGUGGGGGAUAACGUCCGGAAACGGGCCCUAAUUCAGCAUACGUCAUGAGGGAGAACGUGGGGGUUCUUCGGACCUCACGCUUUUAGAUGAGCCUAGGUCGGAAUAGCUAGUUGGUGGGGUAAAGGCCUACCAAGGCGACGAUCCGUAACCGGUCUGAGAGGAUGAUCAGUCACACUGGAACUGAGACACGGUCCAGACUCCUACGGGAGGCAGCAGUAGGGAAUAUUCGGCAAUGGGCGAAAGCCUGAUGCAGCAAUGCCGCGUGAGUGAAGAAGGUCUUCGGAUUGUAAAGCUCUUUAAGUUGGGAAGAAGAACAGUAAGAUAAUACCUUGCUGUUUUGACGGUACCAACAGAAUAAGCACCGGCUAACUACGUG
rnacentral:rRNA from 1 species